rnacentral:rRNA from 1 species
AGAGUUUGAUCAUGGCUCAGAGCGAACGCUGGCGGCAGGCCUAACACAUGCAAGUCGAACGCCCCUUCGGGGGAGUGGCGGACGGGUGAGUAACGCGUGGGAACGUGCCCUUUGGUACGGAACAACUGAGGGAAACUUCAGCUAAUACCGUAUGUGCCCUUCGGGGGAAAGAUUUAUCGCCAUUGGAGCGGCCCGCGUUGGAUUAGGUAGUUGGUGGGGUAAAGGCUCACCAAGCCUACGAUCCAUAGCUGGUCUGAGAGGAUGAUCAGCCACACUGGGACUGAGACACGGCCCAGACUCCUACGGGAGGCAGCAGUGGGGAAUCUUGCGCAAUGGGCGAAAGCCUGACGCAGCCAUGCCGCGUGUAUGAUGAAGGUCUUAGGAUUGUAAAAUACUUUCACCGGGGAAGAUAAUGACGGUACCCGGAGAAGAAGCCCCGGCUAACUUCGUGCCAGCCGCCGCGGUAAUAC